AAAUAGCCCCGAUUGUAGCGGCAUCCUUUAAUAAGGCAUCAAGCCUUAUUAAAGAUAUAGCGCAAAGCGGGACUAAUA
rnacentral:sRNA from 1 species